rnacentral:rRNA from 1 species
AGCGAACGCUGGCGGCAGGCCUAACACAUGCAAGUCGAACGAACCUUUCGGGGUUAGUGGCGGACGGGUGAGUAACACGUGGGAACGUGCCUUUAGGUUCGGAAUAACUCAGGGAAACUUGUGCUAAUACCGAAUGUGGCCUUCGGGGGAAAGAUUUAUCGCCUUUAGAGCGGACCGCGUCUGAUUAGCUAGUUGGUUGCGGUAAUGGCUCACCAAGGCGACGAUCAGUAGCUGGUCUGAGAGGAUGAUCAGCCACAUUGGGACUGAGACACGGCCCAAACUCCUACGGGAGGCAGCAGUGGGGAAUCUUGCGCAAUGGGCGAAAGCCUGACGCAGCCAUGCCGCGUAAAUGAUGAAGGUCUUAGGAUUGUAAAAUUCUUUCACCGGGGACGAUAAUGACGGUACCCGAAGAAGAAGCCCCGGCUAACUUCGUG